rnacentral:rRNA from 1 species
UACAGUGGCGUACGGGUGAGUAACACGUGGAUUAUCUGCCCUGGAGUGGGGAAUAACGCUGGGAAACCGGCGCUAAUACCGCAUAUUCCCGAGAGGGGGAAGCAGCAAUGCGCUCGAGGAGGAGUCCGCGGCCGAUUAGCUAGUUGGCAGGGUAAAAGCCUACCAAGGCUAUGAUCGGUAGCCGGCCUGAGAGGGCACACGGCCACACUGGCACUGAAACACGGGCCAG